UGGGGAAUAUUGCACAAUGGGCGCAAGCCUGAUGCAGCCAUGCCGCGUGUGUGAAGAAGGCCUCGGUUGUAAGCACUUUCAGCGAGGAGGAAGGUGGUGAACUUAAUACGUUCAUCAAUUGACGUUACUCGCAGAAGAAGCACCGGCUAACUCCGUGCCAGCAGCCGCGGUAAUACGGAGGGUGCAAGCGUUAAUCGGAAUUACUGGGCGUAAAGCGCACGCAGGCGGUUUGUUAAGUCAGAUGUGAAAUCCCCGGGCUCAACCUGGGAACUGCAUUUGAAACUGGCAAGCUAGAGUCUCGUAGAGGGGGGCUAGAAUUCCAGGUGUAGCGGUGAAAUGCGUAGAGAUCUGGAGGAAUACCGGUGGCGAAGGCGGCCCCCCUGGACGAAGACUGACGCUCAGGUGCGAAAAGGCGUGGGGGCAGCAAACAGGAUUAGAUACCCUGG
rnacentral:rRNA from 1 species